rnacentral:rRNA from 1 species
CCUACGGGUGGCUGCAGUGGGGAAUAUUGGACAAUGGGGGAAACCCUGAUCCAGCAAUGCCGCGUGUGUGAAGAAGGCCUGCGGGUUGUAAAGCACUUUCGGUUGGGAAGAAAAGUUUGGCGCCAAUACCGCCGAACCUUGACGUUACUGACAGAAGAAGCACCGGCUAACUCUGUGCCAGCAGCCGCGGUAAUACAGAGGGUGCAAGCGUUGAUGGUGAUCACUGGGCGCGGGUGGUACGUAGCCGGGCUUAAGCGGGGAACUGAAUUCGAUACUACAUGGCUAGAGUAUGGUAGAGGGAAGUGGAAUUUCCGGUGUAGCGGUGAAAUGCGUAGAUAUCGGAAGGAACACCAAUGGCGAAGGCAGCUUCCUGGACUAAUACUGACACUGAGGCACGAAAGCGUGGGUAGCAAACAGGAUUAGAUACCCUGGUAGUC